UACACACCGCCCGUCACACCAUGGAAGUUUACUGCACCAGAAGCGGGUAGCCUGACCGCAAGGGGGGCGCCUACCACGGUGUGGUCAAUGACUGGGGUG
rnacentral:rRNA from 1 species